rnacentral:rRNA from 1 species
GCUUACACAUGCAAGUCGAACGGCUGUAGCAAACAGCAGUGGCGCACGGGUGAGUACGCGUGGGAACGUCCCUUUAGUCGGAAUACGUCGGGAACUGACGCUAUACCGGAUAUCCCUCCGGGGGAAAGCUUCAUUUUCGUUGUUCGUUGUUAGUUAUUGGUUGUUCGAAAAAAAUCGAAUAACGAAAAACUAACAACGAACAACGGAUUGAUACGCUAAAGGAUCGGCCCGCGUGAGAUUAGGUAGUUGGUGGGGUAAUGGCCUACCAAGCCUACGAUCUCUAGCUGGUCUGAGAGGAUGAUCAGCCACACUGGAACUGAGAUACGGUCCAGACUCCUACGGGAGGCAGCAGUGGGGAAUAUUGGACAAUGGGGGAAACCCUGAUCCAGCCAUGCCGCGUGAACGAUGAAGGCCUUAGGGUUGUAAAGUUCUUUUGCAGGGGAAGAUAAUGACGGUACCCUGCGAAUAAGCUCCGGCUAACUUCGUGCCAGCAGCCGCGGUAAUACGAAGGGAGCUAGCGUUGUUCGGAAUCACUGGGCGUAAAGCGCGCGCAGGCGGUAAUGCAAGUCAGAGGUGAAAUCCCGGGGCUUAACCCCGGAACUGCCUUUGAAACUGCAUCGCUUGAAGGUGAGAGAGGGUAGUGGAAUUCUGAAUGUAGCGGUGAAAUGCGUAGAUAUUCAGAGGAACACCGAUGGCGAAGGCAGCUACCUGGCUCACUAUUGACGCUGAGGCGCGAAAGCGUGGGGAUCAAACAGGAUUAGAUACCCUGGUAGUCCACGCCGUAAACGAUGUCGACUGGUUGUUGGGGGUUUGACACUCUCAGUAACGAAGCUAACGCGUGAAGUCGACCGCCUGGGGAGUACGGCCGCAAGGUUAAAACUCAAAGGAAUUGACGGGGACCCGCACAAGCGGUGGAUUAUGUGGAUUAAUUCGAUGCAACGCGAAAAACCUUACCUACCCUUGACAUGUCCGAGAGCCUGGAGAGAUCCAGGCGUGCCCGAAAGGGAAUCGGAACACAGGUGCUGCAUGGCUGUCGUCAGCUCGUGUCGUGAGAUGUUGGGUUAAGUCCCGCAACGAGCGCAACCCUUGUCAUUAGUUGCUACAUUCAGUUGGGCACUCUAAUGAGACUGCCGGUGACAAACCGGAGGAAGGUGGGGAUGACGUCAAGUCCUCAUGGCCCUUAUGGGUAGGGCUUCACACGUAAUACAAUGGCGCGUACAGAGGGUUGCCAAGGGGCGACCUGGAGCCAAUCCCUUAAAGCGCGUCGUAGUCCGGAUUGCAGUCUGCAACUCGA